GAUGCCUUGGUGAGCUUUGAAGCACAUUGAGCAGUCUGAAAUCCUUCCUCACUAUGGG
rnacentral:lncRNA from 1 species